rnacentral:rRNA from 1 species
CAGUAGCCGCGGGAAUACGAAGGGUGCAAGCGUUAAUCGGAAUUACUGGGCGUAAAGGGUGCGUAGGCGGUUGUUUAAGUCUGUUGUGAAAUCCCCGAGCUUAACUUGGGAACUGCAUUUGAAACUGGCAAGCUAGAGUCUUGUAGAGGGGGGUAGAAUUCCAGGUGUAGCGGUGAAAUGCGUAGAGAUCUGGAGGAAUACCGGUGGCGAAGGCGGCCCCCUGGACAAAGACUGACGCUCAGGUGCGAAAGCGUGGGGAGCAAACAGGAUUAGAUACCCCUGUAGUCCCUGUCUCUUAUAC